rnacentral:rRNA from 1 species
UAGGGAAUAUUAGUAAUGGGCGAAAGCCUGAACUAGCAACGCCGCGUGUGCGAAGGAGGCCUUCGGGUUGUAAAGCACUUUUUGAGAGGAUGAGGAAGGACGGUACUCUCAGAAUAAGUCUCGGCUAACUACGUGCCAGCAGCCGCGGUAACACGUAGGAGGCGAACGUUAUCCGGAUUUACUGGGCGUAAAGCGCGUGUAGGUGGUUUGGUAAGUAGGGCGUGAAAGCUCCUGGCUCAACUGGGAGAGGCCGUUCUAAACUGCCGAA